CGUCCGGAAACGGGCGCUAAUACCGCAUACGUCCUGAGGGAGAAAGUGGGGGAUCUUCGGACCUCACGCUAUCAGAUGAGCCUAGGUCGGAUUAGCUAGUUGGUGGGGUAAAGGCCUACCAAGGCGACGAUCCGUAACUGGUCUGAGAGGAUGAUCAGUCACACUGGAACUGAGACACGGUCCAGACUCCUACGGGAGGCAGCAGUGGGGAAUAUUGGACAAUGGGCGAAAGCCUGAUCCAGCCAUGCCGCGUGUGUGAAGAAGGUCUUCGGAUUGUAAAGCACUUUAAGUUGGGAGGAAGGGCAGUAAGUUAAUACCUUGCUGUUUUGACGUUACCAACAGAAUAAGCACCGGCUAACUUCGUGCCAGCAGCCGCGGUAAUACGAAGGGUGCAAGCGUUAAUCGGAAUUACUGGGCGUAAAGCGCGCGUAAGUGGUUCAACAAGUUGGAUGUGAAAUCCCCGGGCUCUACCUGGGGAACUGCGUCCCAAACUACUGAGACUAUAGAUACACGUAGAGAGGGGGGGUGAAAUUUCCUGUGUGUGCGGUGUAAAUGUGCUAUAUAUAUGGGGAGGAACACC
rnacentral:rRNA from 1 species